rnacentral:rRNA from 1 species
UAGCCCGAGUUGAGAGACUGAUCGGGCCACAUUGGGACUGAGACACGGGCCAAACUCCUACGGGAGGCAGCAGUAGGGGAAUCUUUCCACAAUGGACGCAAAGUCUGAUGGAGCAAAACGCCGCGUGAGUGAAGAAGGGUUUCGGCUCGUAAAAGCUCUGUUGUUGGUGAAGAAGGACAGGGGUAGUAACUGACCCUUUGUUUGACGGUAAUCAAUUUAGAAAGUCACGGGCUAACUACGUGCCCAGCAGCCGCGGUAAAU